rnacentral:rRNA from 1 species
GGAGCCUGAUGCAGCGACGCCGCGUGAGGGAUGACGGCCUUCGGGUUGUAAACCUCUUUCAGCAGGGACGAAGCGCAAGUGACGGUACCUGCAGAAGAAGCACCGGCCAACUACGUGCCAGCAGCCGCGGUAAGACGUAGGGUGCGAGCGUUGUCCGGAUUUAUUGGGCGUAAAGAGCUCGUAGGCGGCUUGUCGCGUCGACCGUGAAAACUUGGGGCUCAACCCCAAGCCUGCGGUCGAUACGGGCAGGCUAGAGUUCGGUAGGGGAGACUGGAAUUCCUGGUGUAGCGGUGAAAUGCGCAGAUAUCAGGAGGAACACCGGUGGCGAAGGCGGGUCUCUGGGCCGAUACUGACGCUGAGGAGCGAAAGCGUGGGGAGCGAACAGGAUUAGAUACCCUGGUAGUCCACGCUGUAAACGUUGGGCGCUAGGUGUGGGGGGCCUCUCCGGUUCUCUGUGCCGCAGCUAACGCAUUAAGCGCCCCGCCUGGGGAGUACGGCCGCAAGGCUAAAACUCAAAGGAAUUGACGGGGGCCCGCACAAGCGGCGGAGCAUGCGGAUUAAUUCGAUGCAACGCGAAGAACCUUACCUGGGUUUGACAUGGCCGCAAAACUUCCAGAGAUGGGGAGGUCCUUCGGGGG